UACGUAGGGGGCAAGCGUUGUUCGGAAUUACUGGGCGUAAAGGGCGCGUAGGCGGCCUGUUAAGUCGAACGUGAAAUCCCCGGGCUCAACCCGGGAACUGCGUCCGAUACUGGCAGGCUUGAAUCCGGGAGAGGGAUGCGGAAUUCCAGGUGUAGCGGUGAAAUGCGUAGAUAUCUGGAGGAACGCCGGUGGCGAAGGCGGCAUCCUGGACCGGCAUUGACGCUGAGGCGCGAAAGCCAGGGGAGCAAACGGG
rnacentral:rRNA from 1 species